CGGUUCCUCUGCUCUGGAGACCAGAACACCUAGAAAACGCCAAAUUCAUCCAAAAUUCUCCAAAACUGCAUUCUUCUAUCUCGAAAGCCUAAAUCUCCUGCAAAGCAUAAAAUACACCAUAAACGCACCAAUUUCCAGAAGAUUAUCUUAAAACAUGCACAUGCAAACCCUUAAAAAUAGAGUAAAUUAAGCAUAAAUCACCUUUGGGAUUCGAACUCAGGACCACGAAGAUAUGAGUAGCACCUAUCAAAUCAUUUAAGNCUAGAGAAAUGAUGAUUUCUCUGGCAUGUUGAUUUCUCUGGCGAGACUUCGCUGCUCUGGAGAUGUCGGCUCCGCUCCUCUGCAUUCCGCGGAUUUCUCUGGACUGGCUUUUGAUUCCUCUAGCGCUUCGAUUCCUCUGACGCCAGAGGAAUGGUGAUUUCUCUGCUAUGGAGAUGUCGGUUCUUCUGCUCUGGAGACCAGAACACCUAGAAAACGCCAAAUUCAUCUAAAAUUCUCCAAAAUUGCAUUCUUUCAUCUCGAAAGCCUAAAUCUCCUGCAAAGCAUAGAAUACACCAUAAAACGCACCAAAUUCCAGAAGAUUAUCUUAAAAUACGCACAUACAAACCCUUAAAAAUAGAGUAAAUUAAGCAUAAAUCA
rnacentral:lncRNA from 1 species